UGCGAAUUAAAUUUAGAAUUUACCUAGCUAUCAUUUCUGCGAAGUAUUGCAAGUAUUACUCAUGUUUUGAGUAAACUCUUAUCAAAGAUAUGCUUCACCUUUGACACGCUAUCGUGUAAAUAUAACGUAAUAUCUGUAAUGAAAAUUAUCAUAAGCCAAGAUUUGUCGAUUCGUGGAAUUCUCUGUAAAAAGUUAAUCAGUCACUACGCAGCAUCCGACAGAGUCUUUAUAAUCUCCGCUUUUUCAAGAAUAUUUCACACGUCGUUUGAACUUUAUCGAGAGCAAACUUUCGAGACAGUUUGUAUUCUGUGACGAAAAUCGAGAAUGAAAUUUUGCAUUGUGUUAUUAAUUAUGGCGGUGAUGACCGCUGUUUCGUCAUUGCCGAUGAACGAAGAUCAAACCGAGCCGUCUACUACUGAGGAAUCGGUGACAACGGUUCCAUUCAAUAUCAUAACAGUGCCGGAAUUUCCAUGUCCAUUUCCUGGUCAGCAACGUGACGCGAACGGAAAGUGUCGAUUACGUUUGCAAAAUCUAACAUCAAGUAAAUAAGAUUCAACGAUACGAGCGGUGUCAUCCGAAAGCUACAAACAUCAGCAGUGAAAUAUCGUAACAACGUACGACGAGAGAUUGGCCAAGCUAUUUGUCUGCUUUACAUUAUCAGAGGAACGAACUAUUUCGCAACCGAUACGAUUAUCAAAAAAAUGUAUAUUUUAUUCUUUCUGUUACUGUCAUUAAAUUGCGGUAAAUUGUGACCGCGUAAUAUGUAUAAGUCCUGAUUAAUCGUAAUAAGAUGCUUUUUUUUAUCUAUCUAUGCAUUCUAUAUGCCCUUUUUAUGUUUAUUUUUAUAUAUAAAAUAAAAACCACGUAUGUACGUUAACAAAAUUUAGUAAUAAAUAGAAAAAAAUCUAUAGAGUUGCAUGUUUGUACAAACCGCACGUCACUAUGUGUAUUGAAAUUUAAAUGACAAAUGGAUUUUCGAAUUUGGAAUUGAUUUUUCUCUAAUAGACGUUUAGUAAUAACUCCUACUCUGUAUAGAAAAAAAUAACAAAUAUUGUUAAAUAAAAUUUUAUUAAUGGCUGUGUGUGUACAACAGUCCUACUGCCAACGCUUUCUUUAUGUCAGCUAUAUUAUCAGAUUUUGACAUUUAUUGGUCUAAAUACGACGACGGUAUUGUCAGUACGAAAUAAACUCCAGCAAUCGAUUUUAAUGCCGAAUGUGCGGCAAAAUGCAAAAAUAUGAGCCUAUAUAUCUUUAUCUGUUUUCCCAUCUUUCUAUAUUCAGACAUAAAGUUGUUUACCGACAUGUAUCUAUAGUGACCUAUUUUCUAUCGAUCAACGAAAGAUUUUAUUUUUAAAGACAUCUUUAACUAUGUCAAGAUCGAUAUUAGUCUGUCACGUUAGUCUGUAGCUGGCAGGGUUAUAGCGUCUCGAGUGCAAGUCAUAGAAAACGUGUGCAAAGCUGAGCUACCUUGUAUAUUAUUUAUCAGUUUGUUAGAGUUGUGUAAACGUCCCAUUUAUAUUAAAUUUUACAGACAUUUACUCUCUCGUCAGAAAUAAUUAGUCAAAUCGAUUCAAUCAAUUUGAAUUUGAUGCGUAAAUGAAUGGUCAAUGUCGAAUAGUGGUUGAUAUUUUUGUCAUUUUUAAACUCAUCAUAAUUUUUUUAUAAUAAUUGAGUAAUUAUAAAUAUUUCUAUAAGACUUCUAUGUCCUUUGGCCAAUUCUUUCUACAUCGAAUACAUAAUAUAUACGUAUACAUACAUAUAUACAUACAUAUAUUGUGCUUUCCGACUUUGCACUGAUUUGAUGUAGAGUUAGAAUAUAGAAAUCUUCCAGAAAUAUUUGCAAUUGCUUGAUUAACAUUAUGUAUAUUAUGUAAAAGCAAUUAUAAUAAGGUCAAAGAUGAGAAACAAAGAUCAAUCAAUAUUUGAUAUCGACUAUUUAUCGAUGCAUCGAUAUCGAAUUGAUUCAACUAAAUUAAUUCAACUAAUUAUUUCUGGCUGGAACGGGAAAGUAACGGAAUGCUCUAAGUAUUAUAUGCUAUAAAUAUUGUUAUGCUUAUUGACGACAUUGAUAUCAGUAAAUUUUGAUUACGACGACUAGCGCGUUUUUAAAUUGCACAAUUUUAAUUUUUAUUGUAAUAAAGCAAAGUGCAUCGCGUUGGAAAUAAUAUCUAAGUAUAAAUAAAAAAUAUGCGACAGCGAAGCGGCAAGUUAUUUGCCGAGAUAAGUCGAAUAAAGAAGCAUCAAGAGUGAGAAGCGUUCGAAGAUUUCGCAUAAGUUACGAACAGAGUCAAGAGAAGUCAAGAAGAAAAAAUCGAGAAAGGGGUAAAGAUACGAAAUUGGAGGUGCGGAGAUUUUGAUCCUUACUCGCACUUUCAUUUGUAUUUUUAAACUAAGAAUUGUUACGUCGUUUAGAAAUGAAGUUCUUCAUGGGUAUUUUGCUAAUACUUGCGACGACAAUGUUAAUCUUAGUACUAUCGACAGUCGGUCAGGAGAAUAAGAGUGAAAUGCACGAGUACGAAUAUGCACGAGCCAAGCAAUGUUACCCCGCGCACAGCUGUAACAGUACCCUCGAGAAUUACAGACCCUUGUCCGGAAGGCCAGAGAAAAGAUUCCAGAGGAACGUGUCGCACGCCGGUAUAAUAAUCGAGAAACACAGCUUUUGACAGAUUCCUUUCCAAAGUACAUGUGUAUUUUAUGUCUAUUUGCAAGCUGCGGUGGAUAUCAAAAUUUCAGCAAUAUCAGAUGAAAGCUAAAAACGAGACCGUAGAAAAUAUCGUAGCAACGACAAAAAGAUCACACGGAACCUUUAGAUUUUUACAACACGAUGAAAAUAUUCCAUAACGUUUCGCUGGCAAUCAUGUUAGUGGUGACCAUAGUGAUAUCAAUAGCGACGUGUAUGACCACAACUACACGUACUAGCGUAGUCGUUGAACCAUUUUUUAUCAUAGACAUUCCUACGAGACCACCUUGCUCCAAAGGGCAAAGGAAAGAUGCUCACGGGUUGUGCCGGACGCCAUUACAAUAAGGAAAAGACGUGCAAAUUCAAGAUGUGACUUGUAAUUCUAAACUCAAUGAAUAAUCCAAUCCGAUUAACUAAUUUAGAAGAGUAAUAUGUAUAAACUAAUCGAUUAUAAAAAAAAGAUAUCAAUUUUGAUGCUAAUAUCAGUUGUUACGUUAUUUUGUAAAUCCUACAUUACAAUUAAUAAAUUAAUUCAAUCUUUCAAAAAUCUUUUUUUUUUCAAUAUCCAGUUUAAUAAUUUUUUUUUACAAUUGACAAAAACUUCUAAAGUAUUUUCCGAGAUAUAUGGGAGUCCGUGCUAAUUCACGUGUUUAAUCUUCGAUCUCAGCAAUUUUAAUGUUUCGUUAAUUUAAAAAAGAGUAGGUACGUUGAUUCAUACUAACCAGUUUUUCUUAUAUAAUGGUAAUAAAAUUUACGUAAACAGGAAAACAUGUGGAUUAUAUAUAGAGAGCCUGAAUAGAAAAAUAGCAAUACGGAUUAAUCUGUCGAAACUAUCAGCUGCAGUGGCAAAUUGAAUUUGCUGAAGAAAUUGUGUUCGUGAAGGAAA